GACGAACGCUGGCGGCGUGCCUAAUACAUGCAAGUAGAACGCUGAAGGAGGAGCUUGCUUCUCCGGAUGAGUUGCGAACGGGUGAGUAACGCGUAGGUAACCUGCCUGGUAGCGGGGGAUAACUAUUGGAAACGAUAGCUAAUACCGCAUAAGAGUAGAUGUUGCAUGACAUUUGCUUAAAAGGUGCAAUUGCAUCACUACCAGAUGGACCUGCGUUGUAUUAGCUAGUUGGUGAGGUAACGGCUCACCAAGGCGGCGAUACAUAGCCGACCUGAGAGGGUGAUCGGCCACACUGGGACUGAGACACGGCCCAGACUCCUACGGGAGGCAGCAGUAGGGAAUCUUCGGCAAUAGACGGAAGUCUGACCGAGCAACGCCGCGUGAGUGAAGAAGGUUUUCGGAUCGUAAAGCUCUGUUGUAAGAGAAGAACGAGUGUGAGAGUGGAAAGUUCACACUGUGACGGUAUCUUACCAGAAAGGGACGGCUAACUACGUG
rnacentral:rRNA from 1 species